rnacentral:rRNA from 1 species
UACGUAGGGGGCUAGCGUUGUCCGGAAUCAUUGGGCGUAAAGAGCGCGUAGGCGGCCAGAUAAGUCCGGUGUGAAAGUCACAGGCUCAACCUGUGAAUGCCGCUGGAAACUGUCUGGCUAGAGUCCGGAAGAGGCGAGUGGAAUUCCUGGUGUAGCGGUGAAAUGCGCAGAUAUCAGGAGGAACACCGAUGGCGAAGGCAGCUCGCUGGGACGGUACUGACGCUGAGGCGCGAAAGCGUGGGGAGCAAACAGG